UUAUGGCUCAGGACGAACGCGGGCGGCGUGCUUAACACAUGCAAGUCGAACGGAAAGGUCUCUUCGGAGAUACUCGAGUGGCGAACGGGUGAGUAACACGUGGGUAAUCUGCCCUGCACUUCGGGAUAAGCCUGGGAAACUGGGUCUAAUACCGGAUAGGACCUCGAGGCGCAUGCCUUGUGGUGGAAAGCUUUUGCGGUGUGGGAUGGGCCCGCGGCCUAUCAGCUAGUUGGUGGGGUGACGGCCUACCAAGGCGACGACGGGUAGCCGGCCUGAGAGGGUGUCCGGCCACACUGGGACUGAGAUACGGCCCAGACUCCUACGGGAGGCAGCAGUGGGGAAUAUUGCACAAUGGGCGCAAGCCUGAUGCAGCGACGCCGCGUGGGGGAUGACGGCCUUCGGGUUGUAAACCUCUUUCAGCAGGGACGAAGCGCAAGUGACGGUACCUGCAGAAGAAGCACCGGCCAACUACGUGCCAGCAGCCGCGGUAAUACGUAGGGUGCGAGCGUUGUCCGGAAUUACUGGGCGUAAAGAGCUCGUAGGUGGUUUGUCGCGUUGUUCGUGAAAUCUCACGGCUUAACUGUGAGCGUGCGGGCGAUACGGGCAGACUGGAGUACUGCAGGGGAGACUGGAAUUCCUGGUGUAGCGGUGGAAUGCGCAGAUAUCAGGAGGAACACCGGUGGCGAAGGCGGGUCUCUGGGCAGUAACUGACGCUGAGGAGCGAAAGCGUGGGGAGCGAACAGGAUUAGAUACCCUGGUAGUCCACGCCGUAAACGGUGGGUACUAGGUGUGGGUUUCCUUCCUUGGGAUCCGUGCCGUAGCUAACGCAUUAAGUACCCCGCCUGGGGAGUACGGCCCGCAGGCUAAAACUCAAAG
rnacentral:rRNA from 1 species